UCCUGGUUAGCUCAGUUGGUAAAUCGCCCCACCGGAAAUGGAGAAAUCCCUGGUUCAAUACCAGGACCAGGCG
rnacentral:tRNA from 1 species